rnacentral:rRNA from 1 species
GAUGAACGCUAGCUAUAGGCUUAACACAUGCAAGUCGAGGGGAAACGGCAUUAUGUGCUUGCACAUUUUGGACGUCGACCGGCGCACGGGUGAGUAUCGCGUAUCCAACCUGCCCUUUACUUGGGGAUACCCCGUUGAAAGACGGCCUAAUACCCGAUGUAAUUCAUUGAUGGCAUCAGAUAUGAAUAAAAGAUUUAUCGGUAAAGGAUGGGGAUGCGUCUGAUUAGCUUGUUGGUGAGGUAACGGCUCACCAAGGCAACGAUCAGUAGGGGUUCUGAGAGGAAGGUCCCCCACAUUGGAACUGAGACACGGUCCAAACUCCUACGGGAGGCAGCAGUGAGGAAUAUUGGUCAAUGGGCGGAAGCCUGAACCAGCCAAGUAGCGUGCAGGAAGACGGCCCUAUGGGUUGUAAACUGCUUUUAUACGAGAAUAAUUUGAUGCACGUGUGCGUUAUUGCAUGUAUCGUAUGAAUAAGGACCGGCUAAUUCCGUGCCAGCAGCCGCGGUAAUACGGAAGGUCCAGGCGUUAUCCGGAUUUAUUGGGUUUAAAGGGAGUGUAGGCGGUUUGUUAAGCGUGUUGUGAAAUUUAGAUGCUCAACAUUUAACUUGCAGCGCGAACUGUCAGACUUGAGUACACGCAACGUAUGCGGAAUUCAUGGUGUAGCGGUGAAAUGCUUAGAUAUCAUGAAGAGCUCCGAUUGCGAAGGCAGCAUACGGGAGUGUAACUGACGCUUAAGCUCGAAGGUGCGGGUAUCGAACAGG